rnacentral:rRNA from 1 species
GACGAACGCUGGCGGCGUGCUUAACACAUGCAAGUCGAACGGAAAGGCCCUGCUUUUGUGGGGUGCUCGAGUGGCGAACGGGUGAGUAACACGUGAGUAACCUGCCCUUGACUUUGGGAUAACUUCAGGAAACUGGGGCUAAUACCGGAUAGGAGCUCCUGCUGCAUGGUGGGGGUUGGAAAGUUUCGGCGGUUGGGGAUGGACUCGCGGCUUAUCAGCUUGUUGGUGGGGUAGUGGCUUACCAAGGCUUUGACGGGUAGCCGGCCUGAGAGGGUGACCGGCCACAGUGGGACUGAGAGACGGCAGAGACGCCUACGGGAGGCAGCAGUGGGGAAUAUUGCACAAUGGGCGGAAGCCUGAUGCAGCAACGCCGCGUGCGGGAUGACGGCCUUCGGGUUGUGAACCGCUUUCGCCUGUGACGAAGCGUGAGUGACGGUAAUGGGUAAAGAAGCACCGGCUAACUACG